GCGGCAGGCUUAAUACAUGCAAGUCGAGGGGUAACAGGGAAGCUUGCUUCCGCUGACGACCGGCGCACGGGUGCGUAACGCGUAUGCAACCUACCUCUAACUGGGGAAUAGCCCCGAGAAAUCGGGAUUAAUACCUCAUAAUAUUUAUCAUUCGCAUGUUUGGUAAAUUAAAGUUUCGACGGUUAAAGAUGGGCAUGCGUGACAUUAGCUUGUUGGUGAGGUAACGGCUCACCAAGGCUGCGAUGUCUAGGGGUUCUGAGAGGAUUUUCCCCCACACUGGUACUGAGACACGGACCAGACUCCUACGGGAGGCAGCAGUAAGGAAUAUUGGUCAAUGGGCGAAAGCCUGAACCAGCCAUGCCGCGUGCAGGAUGACGGCCCUACGGGUUGUAAACUGCUUUUGUAUAGGAAGAAACCCCCGCUCGUGAGCGGGGCUGACGGUACUAUACGAAUAAGCACCGGCUAACUCCGUGCCAGCAGCCGCGGUAAUACGGAGGGUGCAAGCGUUAUCCGGAUUUAUUGGGUUUAAAGGGUGCGCAGGCGGAAUGAUAAGUCAGUGGUGAAAUCCUACAGCUCAACUGUAGAACUGCCAUUGAAACUGUCAUUCUUGAGUACAGUUGAAGUAGGCGGAAUGUAUCAUGUAGCGGUGAAAUGCAUAGAUAUGAUACAGAACUCCGAUAGCGAA
rnacentral:rRNA from 1 species